UGAAACAUAUGAAAGUGGCCUCGUAGU
rnacentral:sRNA from 1 species